CUGAGAACAACAUCCAUAAGAGACACAGGUCUCCUGUAGCACAGACUGUCUCCCAGUUGGAUGACCUCCAACUCCUGAUCUCCCUACAUGGUGGGACUGCAGGCCUGCAUCGCCACUGUGAACCUCCACUGUUGAUGGAAAUGCCACUGCAAGGGCCUCAGUCGUGUGGGAAAGUCACCUCAUGCUUCAAGAAACAGAAAGAAGUUUUGGGGCACCUCCUUGUUUGGCUUCACUAUUUUGACUCAAAAUAGUCUCUGCAGCCAGGUGGCAUGCUCUUAACUCCUUCGGUGGGAAGGAAACAGUGGGAAACAAUGUCUGAUUUUUUGAGGGGAAACCCUGUGUUUUCUCAAGCCUUUGUUUUGGGUUUGUUUUAACUGCACCUGCAUUUCUUGCAGUGGUUUUUCACAAAGAAACUUCCUUUCCAGGGUCACAAUUUUUCAACUCAUGUUCUUGCCCCCAGCAGGGAAAUGUUGUCAAACUCAGCCUUUGUUAGCCCACCGACAUUGUUCCGCUGACAUUGAUGGAAAUAGUCAUUUCCUUUGGGAAGCCUUUGCCAUGGAAACAAACUUGGAGCUUGGAUCUGAAUGUCUGAGUGAGAUGCAGUCCUCGGGUGCUACAGCUUCUAAUGGCUGCCAGCCCUUUGUCGAAGAGCUAUCGAAGUUAAGGUCUGCAGGACGGGGCAAAGGAACACUGGCUUGGCUGAUGCUAAGGGGCGAGGCAGAACAGGGUCGGGGCACAGAUCCUUACUGCUGGGAUAUCUGGAUUUUCAAGUCUCC
rnacentral:lncRNA from 1 species